CCUACGGGUUGCAGCAGUGGGGAAUAUUGCACAAUGGGCGCAAGCCUGAUGCAGCCAUGCCGCGUGUGUGAAGAAGGCCUUCGGGUUGUAAAGCACUUUCAGCGGGGAGGAAGGCGGUGAGGUUAAUAACCUCACCGAUUGACGCUACCCGCAGAAGAAGCACCGGCUAACUCCGUGCCAGCAGCCGCGGUAAUACGGAGGGUGCAAGCGUUAAUCGGAAUUACUGGGCGUAAAGCGCACGCAGGCGGUCUGUCAAGUCGGAUGUGAAAUCCCCGGGCUCAACCUGGGAACUGCAUUCGAAACUGGCAGGCUAGAGUCUUGUAGAGGGGGGUAGAAUUUCAGGUGUAGCGGUGAAAUGCGUAGAGAUCUGAAGGAAUACCAGUGGCGAAGGCGGCCCCCUGGACAAAGACUGACGCUCAGAUGCGAAAGCGUGGGGAGCAAACAGGAUUAGAUACCCGAGUAGUC
rnacentral:rRNA from 1 species